rnacentral:rRNA from 1 species
AUUGAACGCUGGCGGCAGGCCUAACACAUGCAAGUCGAACGAGUGGCGGACGGGUGAGUAAUGUCUGGGAAACUGCCUGAUGGAGGGGGAUAACGUCCGGACACGGGCGCUAAUACCGCAUACUAUCAGAUGAGCCUAUGUCGGAUUAGCUAGUUGGUGGGGUAAAGGCAUACCAAGGCGACGAUCCGUAACUGGUCUGAGAGGAUGAGCAGUCACACUUGAACUGAGACACUGUCCAGACUCCUACGGGAGGCAGCAGUGGGGAAUAUUGGACAAUGGGCGAAAGCCUGAUCCAGCCAUGCCGCGUGUGUUAAGAAGGCCUUCGGGUUGUAAAGUACUUUCAGCGUGGAGGCGUUACCCGCAGAAGAAGCACCGGCUAACUCCGUGCCAGCAGCCGCGGUAAUAC